UAGAGAGAUAACGCUUUUCGAUAUAAGGAAAGGCCAACUUCAUCGUAGUAGCACCAGCUUUUUAUAGUAAAAAAUUUUAAGGUCGAGAUCAUGUACCAGAAAAGAAUGGAAAAAUAAAAAAAUAGGAUAUAAAAAUUAGAUUACUCUUGGGACAUUACAUAUAAAGAACAAAGCAUAAAAUAGAUACCAAGUCUGGUCGAUAAAGAACGCAAGGAUUUCUUUGGACGGAGACCUAUAUGUCUUGUAAAUGAGUGCUUUAAUAGCAUCCAAGGUGUCAUUUGUUUUUGCCUUUAAACUAAACCAAAAUGUCGCUUCGACAGAGUGUGAAAUUCUGUCAAAGGUAUUUACGAGAGCCACAACUUCUUCUGGUCUUAAGUCACUUAAUUGAGUUUCAGGCUCCAAAAGUAAUUUAAGGGCCGUGCCAUAACCUGUGAUUUGAACUUUUCCCCAAAGUCUACAUUUGUCGCAGCCAACACAAUCCAUUAUGCGAGAAAUAUCACGGAAAUGUUUGCGAAAGCUAUCCUUAAAUCUCUUAGCCUCUUCAUCGGCAAAGAACUGCUCGCGAUUUAUAACAUGACGAUCCUGGUAAGCGUGAUAAACCAACUGUUCAAAUGCUGUGUGAGUACGCCAAUCAACAUCUUUAUCAGUAGGACAAAAGGUAAAAGAACUGUCGCUAGUAAUGUUUUUCAUUUGGGUUGCAAUUUGAACAAGCGCUUGAUGUAACAACGCGUAAUUGAAAAAAAUAUUUUCAAUGCGAUCGGGAAAACUGCCAACCUUGGCGCGCCACCAAUCCAAAUUUUGGGUCCAACGUUGCUCUUCGACAUCAUAAUAAUUUUGACAAACAUGAGUUGAUAUGCUAGCAUGAAAUCCUGAAAUUAUUCUGUUAAACAUACGCUUUUCUAGGCAAGCAACAGAUGGAGAUAAAGAAGUGUCAUCAUGGUUCUCCGUGAACAAGUUCAAAGGUAUUUGAUUUGGUCUAAAAAGAGCAUUACUUUUAGGUUGUUCAGAUGGAUUAUCGUCGUCGUCAACCACAAAACAGUUUUGCUCGUAAAUGCUUCGCCAAAUCGCAGCUGAAUGAUCACCAGCAUAUCCAGUAAAUCUUUCUGGGUUUUGCACAAGGGAUACAUACACGUAUUCAUCGGGAGAAGUGGAAUUAUCAAGGUAGCAGUAAUCCAAGUCAGGAUUAUAUUUCCAAUUGCAUUUUGUAUCAUUUUUCUUAGAAUGGGGUUCAAAAUCACUGAGCUUUUUCCAUACUUUGGGUAUUUCAAUCUCAUUCAAUGAUUUAACUGCGCAACCUUGGUUACUACACAUUGCGUUGUCAUUUUCCCAUAAAGGGCAGCUUGAUCUAUAGAGAUUUACUCUGUAGUAUGAAAAGUAAUCACUACGCUCAGUUAAGACAGGUACUAAUGAGCGAACUUUGGAUUGCAUUUGAUAAAUGCCUGUAGAACUAGUGUCUGUUUGAGAGAUUAUUAUCUCCGGAAGCAACAAAAAAUUCCAAAUGGCAUUCCAAAUAGAAAUGAGCUUUGUAAUUCCAAUCAUUGCAAUAUUUUUCUCUGUCACUAAAUUAUUUUUUAAAAGAAAUUCUGGUUAUAUUUUAUUUUUUUAACGAUUUUGUAUUGAAUUCUAAGGAUUUGUGUAGUACUCGUACUACCGCGAGUAUUGGAGAAGGACAAAGAAGGAAUUGAUAAAUAUACUGCGACCUCAUAUCCUUAAAUUGUGCUUAGCUAAUGCAAUAGAGUAUGUUUUACUUUAAAGCUUUUUAUGUUUUUCUAGAAAAUUAAGCACGGAAACUCGUCAAUACUUCCUUAUGCUUAUCAACGCUAUAUAUUUUAGAAUUUGUGCAAUACGAAUAAUAGUUGAAAAUAUUCUUGAAAAAUAUACAUCGCCACCGGCAUAUGCAAUAUAUUUUAAGGCGCUCUGCUAAACUAGUAUUUCUAAAGCAAAAGCAAAUUUUUAUCACACAUGUGCUGAAUUUAUUAUUAUACCUGAAUUAGAUAUUUGAGUUUGAGAGCUGUAAAUUCCGGUCGUAAACACUGAACAUAAACCAGGUAGAAAAUUCAUCAUCAAUUGGAACGAUUCUUUGAUGUUACAUUUACAAGCAUCGAAAAAUUAUUAUCAAACAUGUUAGCUAACUCCACUAUUAUAUAUCGAAGAGAGUUUUUGAAAGAAAA